AUGCAAGAUGCUGCACCGGCCGCCUGUGUUUCUCGCUCCUCCCUAGGCUACUGGAGAUGCCAUCCCAAUCUCACCUUCACCAAUGAAACGAUGUGCCCGAAAGAAAAUUUGAAUACACCAGGAUCAGACGCUAUUAUAAGAGACUACAACAACAAUAUCGACCGUGUUCUGACAAACCGCUCGGGCGCUGCCUCCGUGACGAAACUCAGGCUUGACUACCAUGUUCCUCGUGAUGGCACUGAAUCGUAUCAUCAUCUUGAUAGCUGGCUUCAGAUGGCUGUUACACCGAGAACCGAAGAACUCGAGCUUCUAGUAUGGUCGAAAGAGGCGAGCUUUGAUUUCACAGGUGUGGGGGCUCGAUUCAGAAGCUUCUCCUUUUCAGGUGCGCCUUGCGUCCCACAUUUCAACUUGGUUUGA
rnacentral:rRNA from 1 species